rnacentral:rRNA from 1 species
GAUGAACGCUGGCGGCGUGCCUAAUACAUGCAAGUCGAGCGAACAGACGAGGAGCUUGCUCCUCUGACGUUAGCGGCGGACGGGUGAGUAACACGUGGAUAACCUACCUAUAAGACUGGGAUAACUUCGGGAAACCGGAGCUAAUACCGGAUAAUAUAUUGAACCGCAUGGUUCAAUAGUGAAAGACGGUUUUGCUGUCACUUAUAGAUGGAUCCGCGCCGCAUUAGCUAGUUGGUAGGGUAACGGCUUACCAAGGCGACGAUGCGUAGCCGACCUGAGAGGGUGGUCGGCCACACUGGAACUGAGACACGGUCCAGACUCCUACGGGAGGCAGCAGUAGGGAAUCUGCCGCAAUGGGCGAAAGCCUGACGGAGCAACGCCGCGUGAGUGAUGAAGGUCUUCGGAUCGUAAAACUCUGUUAUUAGGGAAGAACAAAUGUGUAAGUAACUAUGCACGUCUUGACGGUACCUAAUCAGAAAGCCACGGCUAACUACGUG